AUGUUACCAAAAAAACUGCAGGUCCUAUAAUAUUACUUGGGAGUCUUAUGAGGAUCAAAAAAUUUAAUGGUAAAGUAUCUGUUCAAAAUUCUAGAUUCUCUACAAAGUUGUUUCUUGAUGGAGACCUAUCUGAGAUUGCUGAAUUUAAAAAGCAGCUGGGCAAUAGAGACUCAAAUGAUGUUCAUAGAGUUUCUCAACUCAUGACACUUGAUUUGAGCAACAAAGUUGAAGAUUCUUUCCCAUUAAGCAGUUGUGAAUCUAUUGAUCAGAUUACUAAAACCUCUCAGACAUUGAAUGGUAUUAUGUUGGAUGCACACAAUGUUUCAAGAGGGCCAUGCCCUAUUUUAAUCCAGAAACAUAAGCACUUGACCUCAACAAGUAUUCAUGUGAUCAUUGCAACAAAGAAGAAACUUCAACAAGUAUAAGGUACAAAGUACAUGUUAAAGUUGUUGAUCAUACAGCUGCAACCGCUACCUUCCUUUUGUUUGAUAGAGAAGUUAUGCAACUUAUUCAUAAGUCUGCCUAUGAAUUGCUUGAACAGCAACUUCAGUUUAACCGUCAAGGUCAAAUUCCUCAAGAUCUCAUUGAGUUACAAAGAAGGGAAAUUGUUUGGAUUGUUAAUGUCAAAGGUACUGAAAAAAAGAAUCCACAAUCAAGCUUCAAAGUUGUUAAACUGACUGAAAAACCACAAACUGUUUAGAAAUUUCAAGAUAAUCUAAUCUUCAAGGAGAAAACUCUAUCUGAAGUAUCUAUCAUUUCAAGCAUGUCAAACGCUAUUCAGAUGGAAAAUAUCUUUUCAGAAACAAAAGAUAUUGAAUUGCCUCUGUCUUCUCCUCUUACUCCAAGCACAAAACGAGGACGUGAUGAUGUCGUUGAUGCUGUUCAAGAAUCAUCAACAAAGCAAAAAUCAACAUCUAAGGUUGGAACACUUGGUAAAGUUCAGGAAACAUCAUGCAAAGCAAAAGCAUCGACGUAGUUGGUUCCCAAAAGACGAGAAAUUAAUAUGUUAUGUCACUUUGAUUGUUUUUCCAUUAAUGUAAUGCAUCCCUUUGUGCUUCUUUUUA